UACGUAGGUGGCAAGCGUUGUCCGGAAUUAUUGGGCCUAAAGCGCGCGCAGGCGGCCUCUUAGGUCGGAUGUGAAAGCCCACGGCUCAACCGUGGAGGGUCAUUGGAAACUGGGGAACUUGAGUGCAGAAGAGGAAAGUGGAAUUCCACGUUUAGCGGUGAAAUGCGUAGAGAUGUGGAGGAACACCAGUGGCGAAGGCGACUUUCUGGUCUGUAACUGACGCUGAGGCGCGAAAGCGUGGGGAGCGAACAGG
rnacentral:misc_RNA from 1 species